UGAUCAGCAGGGAUUCGUACUCACGCCUCUUGUAUGCUAGACGAGCGCUUUGCCAAUUCAGCUGCUGAGC
rnacentral:tRNA from 1 species